rnacentral:misc_RNA from 1 species
UCUCCUUUUCUCAUCCACUAUUUCCACCGUACCUGUAUCUACCCUCUUCGCCUGAGUAAUACUCAGCGGAACACCAAAACAGCUAGUGGUUUUCCGGUGAGUGUGGCCCUGAUGGGUUUUGGGUUUAACUUAUUGAAUGCUUACUUGCAAGCCAGGUGGGUGUCUCACUACAAGGAGAGUUAUCACAACGAUGGGUGGUUCUGGUGGAAGCUUUUGGGUGGGCUAUUGGUAUUUUUGUGGGGUAUGUGGAUUAAUAUAUGGUCUGAUAGGGUUUUGGUAGGCUUAAGGAGAGAGGGUGGCGGGUACAA